GUGGGGAAUAUUGGACAAUGGGCGCAAGCCUGAUCCAGCCAUGCCGCGUGAGUGAUGAAGGCCUUAGGGUUGUAAAGCUCUUUCAGUAGGGAAGAUAAUGACGGUACCUACAGAAGAAGCCCCGGCUAACUUCGUGCCAGCAGCCGCGGUAAUACGAAGGGGGCUAGCGUUGUUCGGAUUUACUGGGCGUAAAGCGCACGUAGGCGGUUUGUUAAGUCAGGGGUGAAAUCCCACAGCUCAACUGUGGAACUGCCCUUGAUACUGGCAAGCUAGAGUCCGGAAGAGGUGAGUGGAACUCCUAGUGUAGAGGUGGAAUUCGUAGAUAUUAGGAAGAACACCAGUGGCGAAGGCGGCUCACUGGUCCGGUACUGACGCUGAGGUGCGAAAGCGUGGGGAGCAAACAGGAUUAGAUACCCGUGUAGUCC
rnacentral:rRNA from 1 species